AUUGAACGCUGGCGGCAGGCCUAACACAUGCAAGUCGAGCGGUAACAGGGGAAGCUUGCUUCUCGCUGACGAGCGGCGGACGGGUGAGUAAUGUAUGGGGAUCUGCCCGAUAGAGGGGGAUAACCACUGGAAACGGUGGCUAAUACCGCAUAAUCUCUUAGGAGCAAAGCAGGGGAACUUCGGUCCUUGCGCUAUCGGAUGAACCCAUAUGGGAUUAGCUAGUAGGUGAGGUAAUGGCUCACCUAGGCGACGAUCCCUAGCUGGUCUGAGAGGAUGAUCAGCCACACUGGGACU
rnacentral:rRNA from 1 species